rnacentral:rRNA from 1 species
GACGUAGGAGGCGAGCGUUAUCCGGAUUCACUGGGCGUAAAGCGCGUGUAGGCGGCUUUGCAAGUCGGGUGUGAAAGCCCUCAGCUCAACUGAGGAAGUGCGCCCGAAACUGCAGAGCUUGAGUGCCGGAGAGGGUGGCGGAAUUCCCCAAGUAGAGGUGAAAUUCGUAGAUAUGGGGAGGAACACCGGUGGCGAAGGCGGCCACCUGGACGGUAACUGACGCUGAGACGCGAAAGCGUGGGGAGCAAACAGG